GGGUCAUUAGGUUGGUCGUGCCACCGGUACGUACUGGUCUCACUGAUUCCUCCUUCCUGAAGAACCGUAAUGCCAUUAAUUUGGUGUUGCGGGGAAACAGGACUGUUACUUUGAAAAAAUUAGAGUGUUUAAAGCAAGCUAACGCUUGAAUACAUUAGCAUGGAAUAAUGAAAUAGGACGAUCGAUCCUGUUUUGUUGGUUUCUAGGAUUGACGUA
rnacentral:rRNA from 1 species